ACGGAAGGCAGCAGUGGGGAAUAUUGGGCAAUGGGCGCAAGCCUGACCCAGCAACGCCGCGUGAGGGAUGAAGGUUUUCGGAUUGUAAACCUCUGUCCUUGGUGACGAAUGCAAUGACGGUAGCCAAGGAGGAAGCCCCGGCUAACUACGUGCCAGCAGCCGCGGUAAUACGUAGGGGGCGAGCGUUGUCCGGAAUGACUGGGCGUAAAGGGCGUGUAGGCGGCACUGUAAGUCUGGAGUGAAAGUCCUGCUUUCAAGGUGGGAAUUGCUUUUAAUACUGAUCAGCUUGAGUGCAGAAGAGGUAAGCGGAAUUCCAAGUGUAGCGGUGAAAUGCGUAGAGAUUUGGAAGAACACCAGUGGCGAAGGCGGCUUACUGGGCUGUAACUGACGCUGAGGCGCGAAAGCGUGGGGAGCGAACAGGAUUAGAUACCCUGGUA
rnacentral:rRNA from 1 species